CCCGGCGACCGGCGCACGGGUGAGUAACACGUAUGCAACCUGGCCGUGACAGAUGGAUAACCGGGAGAAAUCCCGCCUAAUACAACAUAAUGCCGGGAGGGGACAUCCCCUGCCGGUCAAAGGGGGCGACCCCGGUCACGGAUGGGCAUGCGGCGCAUUAGGUAGUUGGUGGGGCAACGGCCCACCAAGCCGACGAUGCGUAGGGGUUCUGAGAGGAAGGUCCCCCACAUUGGAGCUGAGACACGGUCCAAACUCCUACGGAAGGCAGCAG
rnacentral:rRNA from 1 species